GGCUGCUGCUUGGUUCCCUUCCUCGACCUUGAAGGAUUCCUUCCCAGACACUUAAACAACCCUUGAGAACCUGACCUCUUAGCCGACUCAAUGUCCUUGCGUUCAGUCACCUUCCUUGGCCGAAGGCGGCCACCCUACCCCACUCCCUGGCACGUUCAGUCUCAAGCUCUGAAGACUACACUGUGCAAGGUAGGGCAAGCACUCUAUAAGGGGUUCAGGAGAGCUCCGGGCUUGAGGCGCCAACAGGCAGCUGUCUUUGCACUUGCCCCCAGAACCUCUGCCGCUUGACCCCCUGCGCCCCAGGUUUCAUUUGGGUCUUGCUGCACUCUGUUUCCAGAACUCCAGGACAAAGAGCCAAGCCUCUUCCUCUUUCUUAGAUGUUUUCACCUCUACUACCUCGUUUAGAUUCUGGAAGGAGACUGGCCUACAAGACUGACAUUGGCCAUAUACCAAGACGUACGUUGAACAACCCCAGGGGGCACCGUUCUUUGUACUCAUUGUGUAAUUGUAUGGUUAUUGUGACCAUUUCCCAGUAGGUGGCAGUCAAAGAUUUCCAGAAAGGGAAGCCUCUUAAUUUUCCCGACGCCACUUCGCCCCUGGGUGACAUCCUAUUGAUGUCAUACCUAUACCCUACCCCUGGUAGCAAUCCUUCUGGAAGUGGGAAUAGAUCUAGAGACCCACCUCCUACCUUCUUUCUCAUUUCUCCCUACGCCUCUUUAUCCUCCCCAACCAAGGAGUUUAGUUUCCUUCUGUUUGUCCGGGCAUCGUCGGAGGCCGGGUGGAUUUGGGAGGGUAGAUGGGAUCGGGAGGGUCUUGCCUAAGCAUCUAAGGAGAAGCCAAACUAAAGUAUAGCUCCUAGAUCUCUUCUUACUCUUUGUCCCUGGACAAGGGUCUUUCAGCCGCGGAAUUAGGCCACCUCCCACUUUCGGCAAAAGUAAAAUGUUGGCGCGGUUGGAGGCAGAAAGGCGCCAAGCGCUGGACCUGGAGGACAGACCAAAAAGUUGCGAACUGACGGCACCUACUGGCAACCCUUAGGACUGCAGGAGAGCUGACGUGUUGGGGCCGGAGACCGGGACUUUUCAGUCACAUCACAAGGAUCAGGUUGGAUCCCUCCUGUCCUGUCUGCCUGGGAGAAAGGACUUUGUGCUUCGUCUUGAGAAUAAAGAGGUGACCAAAACCACUCUGCCUCAAGGAGAGAGAAGAUGAGUGUGCACUGGAAAUAAGUUUUCUAAGACAUGCACAGGUGCCCUGGGGGAUAUUUAUACGGGACACACGGGGAUCCAGAGGCACGAGCGAGCCGUUCUAUCUCUGGGGCAUGAGAAGUGUUCACUGAAGAGGUGACCUGAGACCACGCCUUCAGUGCUCAAGACUAAAAUAAAACUGGCAUCGGCAUGGUCAGGCUAGAUUACCAAUCCAGAAUUGUCACGUGGAUCUCACUAGGGACCCUGAAGCUCAGGGCUGGUCUAGCAAUGGGGACUCUGCAAUAAGAGCCCCUUGUGGGAAAGGCCUGGGAUGAAAUAGACACCAUAAAUUUAGUGCCUUCCUAGACCUCCCCUGCUCGGAACUCAUUCCAGAUACCAGGAGCUCUCCUGAUGAAAGCACUGUGUCCUCGUCGUUCUCCCCCCCUCACACACACACAUACACACUGAACUGGAGACUCUCAGGGUGGAAUGUGGUCAGGGAGUAAGGAGAAGUGGAAGAGUCAGAGCCA